AUUGAACGCUGGCGGCAGGCCUAACACAUGCAAGUCGAGCGGUAGCACAGAGAGCUUGCUCUCGGGUGACGAGCGGCGGACGGGUGAGUAAUGUCUGGGAAACUGCCUGAUGGAGGGGGAUAACUACUGGAAACGGUAGCUAAUACCGCAUAACGUCGCAAGACCAAAGUGGGGGACCUUCGGGCCUCAUGCCAUCAGAUGUGCCCAGAUGGGAUUAGCUAGUAGGUGGGGUAAUGGCUCACCUAGGCGACGAUCCCUAGCUGGUCUGAGAGGAUGACCAGCCACACUGGAACUGAGACACGGUCCAGACUCCUACGGGAGGCAGCAGUGGGGAAUAUUGCACAAUGGGCGCAAGCCUGAUGCAGCCAUGCCGCGUGUGUGAAGAAGGCCUUCGGGUUGUAAAGCACUUUCAGCGGGGAGGAAGGCGGUGAGGUUAAUAACCUCAUCGAUUGACGUUACCCGCAGAAGAAGCACCGGCUAACUCCGUGCCAGCAGCCGCGGUAAUACGGAGGGUGCAAGCGUUAAUCGGAAUUACUGGGCGUAAAGCGCACGCAGGCGGUCUGUCAAGUCGGAUGUGAAAUCCCCGGGCUCAACCUGGGAACUGCAUUCGAAACUGGCAGGCUAGAGUCUUGUAGAGGGGGGUAGAAUUCCAGGUGUAGCGGUGAAAUGCGUAGAGAUCUGGAGGAAUACCGGUGGCGAAGGCGGCCCCCUGGACAAAGACUGACGCUCAGGUGCGAAAGCGUGGGGAGCAAACAGGAUUAGAUACCCUGGUAGUCCACGCCGUAAACGAUGUCGAUUUGGAGGUUGUGCCCUUGAGGCGUGGCUUCCGGAGCUAACGCGUUAAAUCGACCGCCUGGGGAGUACGGCCGCAAGGUUAAAACUCAAAUGAAUUGACGGGGGCCCGCACAAGCGGUGGAGCAUGUGGUUUAAUUCGAUGCAACGCGAAGAACCUUACCUGGUCUUGACAUCCACAGAACUUAGCAGAGAUGCUUUGGUGCCUUCGGGAACUGUGAGACAGGUGCUGCAUGGCUGUCGUCAGCUCGUGUUGUGAAAUGUUGGGUUAAGUCCCGCAACGAGCGCAACCCUUAUCCUUUGUUGCCAGCGGUUAGGCCGGGAACUCAAAGGAGACUGCCAGUGAUAAACUGGAGGAAGGUGGGGAUGACGUCAAGUCAUCAUGGCCCUUACGACCAGGGCUACACACGUGCUACAAUGGCAUAUACAAAGAGAAGCGACCUCGCGAGAGCAAGCGGACCUCAUAAAGUAUGUCGUAGUCCGGAUUGGAGUCUGCAACUCGACUCCAUGAAGUCGGAAUCGCUAGUAAUCGUAGAUCAGAAUGCUACGGUGAAUACGUUCCCGGGCCUUGUACACACCGCCCGUCACACCAUGGGAGUGGGUUGCAAAAGAAGUAGGUAGCUUAACCUUCGGGAGGGCGCUUACCACUUUGUGAUUCAUGACUGGGGUGA
rnacentral:rRNA from 1 species